GUAGGUGGCAAGCGUUGUCCGGAAUUAUUGGGGCGUAAAGCGCGCGCAGGCGGUUCUUUAAGUCUGAUGUGAAAGCCCAGGCUCAACCGUGGAGGGUCAUUGGAAACUGGAGAACUUGAGUACAGAAGAGGAAAGCGGAAUUCCACGUGUAGCGGUGAAAUGCGUAGAGAUGUGGAGGAACACCAGUGGCGAAGGCGGCUUUCUGGUCUGUAACUGACGCUGAGGCGCGAAAGCGUGGGGAGCAAACAGGAUUAGAUACCCUGGUAGUCCACGCCGUAAACGAUGAGUGCUAAGUGUUAGGGGGUUUCCGCCCCUUAGUGCUGCAGCUAACGCAUUAAGCACUCCGCCUGGGGAGUACGGCCGCAAGGCUG
rnacentral:rRNA from 1 species